UAACCUGCGGAAGGAUCAUUACUGAAUUCAUGACAAGGUUGUAGCUGGCCCUACCCGGGCAUGUGCACGCCUUGCUCAUUCCAAUUCUUACACCUCUGUGCACUCAACAUGGGUUGGUUGUGGCCUGACAUGCUUGCGUGAAGGGCCUGUACCGCCUGUGGUUACUCUACAAACACCUAAAAGUAUUAGAAUGUAAACUGCGUAUAACGCAUCUUUAUACAACUUUCAGCAACGGAUCUCUUGGCUCUCGCAUCGAUGAAGAACGCAGCGAAAUGCGAUAAGUAAUGUGAAUUGCAGAAUUCAGUGAAUCAUCGAAUCUUUGAACGCACCUCGCGCUCCUUGGUAUUCCGAGGAGCAUGCCUGUUUGAGUGUCAUGGUAUUCUCAAUUCUCCAAAUCUUUGCGGAUCUGGUUGGAUUGGAUGUGGAGGAUCUUGCUGGGUGUGCCUUCCUUGGGCGUGUCCGGCUCCUCUGAAAUGCAUUAGCAGGAAUGUUGCCGUGCCAACCUCAGUGUGAUAAUUGUCUACGCUGUUGUUGCUCGGCAAAAUGUAUGUUCUUGCUCACAAUCGUCUUCGGACAAUUUCUUGACAUCUGACCUCAAUCAGU
rnacentral:rRNA from 1 species